rnacentral:tRNA from 1 species
UUCCUGAUGGCUCAGUGGUAAAGAAUCUGCCUGUAAUGCAGGUGACCCAGGUUUGACCCCUGAGUCAGGAA